rnacentral:rRNA from 1 species
GACGAACGCUGGCGGCGUGCCUAAUACAUGCAAGUUGAGCGCUGAAGGUUGGUACUUGUACCGACUGGAUGAGCAGCGAACGGGUGAGUAACGCGUGGGGAAUCUGCCUUUGAGCGGGGGACAACAUUUGGAAACGAAUGCUAAUACCGCAUAAAAACUUUAAACACAAGUUUUAAGUUUGAAAGAUGCAAUUGCAUCACUCAAAGAUGAUCCCGCGUUGUAUUAGCUAGUUGGUGAGGUAAAGGCUCACCAAGGCGAUGAUACAUAGCCGACCUGAGAGGGUGAUCGGCCACAUUGGGACUGAGACACGGCCCAAACUCCUACGGGAGGCAGCAGUAGGGAAUCUUCGGCAAUGGACGAAAGUCUGACCGAGCAACGCCGCGUGAGUGAAGAAGGUUUUCGGAUCGUAAAACUCUGUUGGUAGAGAAGAACGUUGGUGAGAGUGGAAAGCUCAUCAAGUGACGGUA